rnacentral:RNase_MRP_RNA from 11 species
CUGCCGUUUGCGGCGAGGCCCGCCGUUUGCGGCGAGGCCUCUUGGCGGAGCCAGAGCGGCGGGCUGGGGUCGCUCGCAGCAGCACAGCCAUGCCGUGAGCGCCCUGGAAGUGGGCGCCAACAGAACGGGGCUCACUCUC